rnacentral:lncRNA from 1 species
GUCAUUACUGAACCCCAUCUGGGCUGAGGGCUUGCCAAACAGCAGGCUAAAACCCACAAUUCCCGUUGCCGUGAAUAGAGAAUUCUGAGACUGGGCUUUCUGUAUCUCUGUAAAUUAAGCACCUGAGAACUCAGCACUGUUCAGGGAAAAAAGGGACACUCUCUGACAUCAGGGCGCAGGGGUCUGAGGGCUUAACUCCUCAACUCCUAGAAUCUUUUUUAUCACUACUCUUUAACUAUUCAAAGACCACCAUUCAGUCAACAUCAUCCUAAAACCAUUUCAUCUCUUGAGUUGCUGAGCUCUAAAUAGAAGGAGGUAUGGUGGUAACCUAGUUAAAGAGAACAGCAUAUGGGGGACAUGCUGCUUAUACUAACUUCAUUGUGGAGAUGAACUCUGAAAUCCAGUGUUUCUUCCUAACUGAACAGGUUCUUGUUCUAUUCUUUCAAGGCAGGAGCCUCUUAAGAGAUUUGCCCUGAA